GGUUGCUGUGUCCAGAGACCUGGACCAAAGAGUUUACCAACUUUCCUUCUUCUUUUUUAUUGAAAGAUGUUGUUGCUGGUGAUGGCUAUAAAUCUUUAGGUCGUGGAGGAGAUGAUAGCUUGUGGAUCUCAGGUUGCUCUAUCAUCGAUGUUGAUGAUCAUGGUGUCAUGAGAGAUGAAAAUGAAGUUUGGUUCGUCGAUAAGGAGGAGAUGAAUGAUCGAGUCUAUUAGGAU
rnacentral:lncRNA from 1 species